rnacentral:lncRNA from 1 species
AGCGGCCGGUCGGAUUAAAAGUAACCAGACUCGUCCAGAAAACUGCGUCCAGGAAGGAAGUGACAGAAGACGAAUGGGAAAAGGAGAACAGCUCACAGCGUUUGAAACAUCGCGGCACCACUUUCAGAUAAAAACAUAGACCUGAAUGGCAUCAUCCAGUAUCCAAGGAAACCAUUGUGUCUGUAACCAGCUAAUGAGCUGCAACAGAGCCUGGCCUUCAUUUUCAGCAAAUUAAGUUCAUCCCUCAUAGGAAUUGUGGUCUGGCUGUGGCACCGCUCCUAGACAUGACAAACUCCAAAAGGAAACCCAAGCAGCUAUUUGGCUCCCUUAAUUAAUGAAGUCGCCCAGUAUGGAUAAUUCAGGUUCUCUAAACAUGAAUAUGCCUUUGGGGGAAGACAGAAGAACAUGGAAGCCAUGUGAAAAAAACGGAUCCUAAGGCAGUUUUGAACAUCUGGAGGCCUGAUUUAUUGGAGAUUGCAAAUGUACAGUGUAACAUAGCUGUGGAGAGCGAGAAGAUCAGGAUUGUCAAUGCUGUCAUUGCUUUUACUGGAAUCCCCAGCACGAAUUGAAGGUUUGACCAGAGACAAAGAAGCAAAUGCUAUCAAUUAACAUUCACAUGUGGUAGGUCUCACUUUGCCACCUAGGCUGGAUGCAAUGCAACGGUAUGUUGAUCUUGGUUCACUGCAGCCUCAACCUCCUGAGCUCAUGUGAUCCUCCCACCUCAGUCCCCCACGUCGCUUGGAUUACAGGCCUGUGCCACCACACCUGGCUAACUUUUUUUGUAAUUUUUGUAGAGACAGGGUCUCACUAUGUUUCCCAUGCUGGUCUUUAAUGCCUGAGCUCAAGCCAUCCGCCUGCCUCGGCCUCCCAAAUUGCUGGGAUUACAGGCAUGAGCCACCAUGCCCAGCCUAAUUCUUCUAAAUCUUAUCCUAGUAAUUAAGCCAGAAUUUUUCUCUGCCAAGACCAAUAGAUGGACCAAGAAGUACUCAUCCUUGUAAACUUUCUUUGGAUAAAUUGCUUACAUAUAAUAAAUUCAGAGUUAAGUAAUAAAAAUAAUGAACUACUGUCUUG